rnacentral:tRNA from 1 species
GCCUUCGUGGUGUAAUAGUCAGCACGCUUGACGCGUAACCGAGAGGUCCGUGGUUCGAUUCCUGGCGAAGGCG